GGCGGCCCGAGUGGUAACCGUUUUAUUGGGUUUAAAGGGUCCGUAGCCGGCUUACUAAGUCUCUUGGGAAAUCUGGCGGCUCAAUCGUCAGGCGUCCAAGAGAUACUGGUAGGCUUGGGACCGGGAGAGGUGGGAGGUACUCCAGGGGUAGGGGUGAAAUCUCGUAAUCCUUGGGGGACCACCGAUGGCGAAGGCAUCCCACCAGAACGGGUCCGACGGUGAGGGACGAAAGCUGGGGGCACGAACCG
rnacentral:rRNA from 1 species